rnacentral:rRNA from 1 species
CCUACGGGGGGCAGCAGUGAGGAAUAUUGGUCAAUGGACGAGAGUCUGAACCAGCCAAGUAGCGUGAAGGAUGACUGCCCUAUGGGUUGUAAACUUCUUUUAUAUGGGAAUAAAACGUUCCACGUGUGGGAUUUUGUAUGUACCAUAUGAAUAAGGAUCGGCUAACUCCGUGCCAGCAGCCGCGGUAAUACGGAGGAUCCGAGCGUUAUCCGGAUUUAUUGGGUUUAAGGGGAACGUAGGUGGUUGGUUAAGUCAGUUGUGAAAGUUUGCGGCUCAACCGUAAAAUUGCAGUUGAAACUGGCAGUCUUGAGUACAGUAGAGGUGGGCGGAAUUCGUGGUGUAGCGGUGAAAUGCUUAGAUAUCACGAAGAACUCCGAUUGCGAAGGCAGUUCACUGGACUGCAACUGACACUGAGGCUCGAAAGUGUGGGUAUCAAACAGGAUUAGAUACCCUUGUAGUC